GGGGAUGUAGCUCAGUGGUAGAGCGCUUGCCUAGGAAGCGCAAGGCCCUGGGUUCGGUCCCCAGCUCCG
rfam:Rattus norvegicus chromosome 1, whole genome shotgun sequence.